GACGAACGCUGGCGGCACGCUUAACACAUGCAAGUCGAACGGAGUUAUUUGGAGCUUGCUUUGAAUAACUUAGUGGCGGACGGGUGAGUAACACGUGAGCAAUCUGCCCUUAAGAGGGGGAUAGCAGUUAGAAAUGACUGAUAAUACCGCAUAAGAUAGUAGUACCGCAUGGUACAGCUAUAAAAGAUCAUAUCGCUUAAGGAUGAGCUCGCGUCUGAUUAGCUGGUUGGUGAGGUAACGGCUCACCAAGGCAACGAUCAGUAGCCGGACUGAGAGGUUGGACGGCCACAUUGGGACUGAGACACGGCCCAGACUCCUACGGGAGGCAGCAGUGGGGAAUAUUGCACAAUGGAGGGAACUCUGAUGCAGCGAUGCCGCGUGAGGGAAGAAGGUUUUAGGAUUGUAAACCUCUGUGACAGCGACGAUAAUGACG
rnacentral:rRNA from 1 species